rnacentral:tmRNA from 1 species
GGGGCCGACCUGGUUUCGACGUGGGUGCGGAAUCGGAGCAGGGCAUGCCGAGCACCAGUUCGCUCGUAAAACCACUGGAAACAAAGUAACUGCGAACGACGAACGUUUCGCCCUCGCCGCUUAACACCGGUGAGCCUCUCAACGGUUGGCCGAUGGGCCGGGCCUGAGAUCGCAAGGUCAAGGGCUGAGAGGUCAUUCACAUUGGCUGGAUCUGAGCCGGGUCACACGGUUCAGGUCGAGAUCUCGUGACUGGCGUGUCCAAGAGGGUGUUCCUGCCCGCUUGGCGCGUGAGACUCAAAUCAGAGAACUACGCAUGUAGAACUGCCUGAGGAUGGCUUGCGGACGGGGGUUCAAUUCCCCCCGGCUCCACCA